AUGGACUGCUCGAGCGCAGUCAUCCUUGAUGGGCACAGUGUUCUAUCCGGCGCGAGCUCCUCCCCUAGCGAGUUCCGCUCCCCCGCCGGCAGCCAUUCUGGCCCCGGCGUCCACCUCCGCUUCCGCCGCCGGCCACCCAGGCCCCGUUGCCCUCUCCCUUCUCCGGCAGCCACCCGAGCCCCGGCUAUCCUUCCGCUGCGCUCGCCCAUGGGGCUGUUUCGCCAUGGCUUCGGGUCCGGCCAGCCCCGCUUCGGUGUCGUCGAGGCUGCAGCCCAUUGUCUCCGGCUUGGGGCUGUUAGGCUCGUCUGGUUCUGCGGGCGCGUCCACCAGUGCUGGAGGUGCGCCGGCUCGACCUAUCGAUGGCCCGGCCACGGGCUCCUCCGCUCCAUGGCGCAAGCCGAGGCCGUCCCACAAGGCUCUUUGGCGCAAAAGGAAAGCGUUUCGGAAGUAGGCAGCGGCGGGAGGAGCCCGGUCGCGCUCGCCGGCGUCGUCCCAGAGAGGAGAGAGAUCCCGACAGAUCUGUUUGGCCUUUGCUUCACAUGCUUCAGGGAGGGUCACCGCUGGGAAGAUUGCAACUUUCCACCGUUGUGCAUCCGGUGUGGUCUGGAGGGUCACAUUUCUUUGGAGUGCAAGCGGCCGAGGAGUCUAAGGUCGAAAGAAGAUCUCCGGCGGGAUGUCGUUGCCGAGGUUGCGCGUGCUUCGCAGCCGUCGAUGGAGGCCGGACUAGCGAACAGGCUGUCGUCGGCGACUAGGCAGACCGCUCCGCCGGAGAGGUCCGCGCCAGUGUCGGUCGACACCACACCUGUGGAGUUUGGGCAGGCAUCGGGUGCAGCUAUCGCUUCCGGUGCCAUCUGCGUGCUCCGUAGGACGCCGGAGAUGGAGGAUCUUGAGCAGCGUUUGAGGUUGGCGGUGGUGGCGUACAUGGGCAGCACUCGGCCCCCGGUGUCGUGCCGGGAGGCAGCGGAAGGAGUGUCGACGGCCCUACGUAUUCCCCUCCAUCGGUUCUAUGUCCACAAGUUCCAUCCCAAGAACUUCCGGGUGGUUUUCGCUUCGCCGGAGCUGCGCAAUAAGGCUUUGGCGGCGGGCACCGUUGAGUAUGGCUACUUCAAGCUGUUCAUCAAACCAUGGCUCAAGCAGGCGCAAGCGGUGUCCAGAGUGAUGCGUACUCAAGUUGACCUCAUGAUCGAGGGGGUUCCAUCUCAUGCGUGGAUGACCGAGACGGCGACCGAGCUCCUUGGCUCAUAG
rnacentral:rRNA from 1 species